GACGAACGCUGGCGGCGUGCCUAAUACAUGCAAGUCGAACGCAUUUUCUUUCACCGUAGCUUGCUACACCGAAAGAAAAUGAGUGGCGAGCGGGUGAGUAACACGUGGGUAACCUGCCCAUCAGCGGGGGAUAACACUUGGAAACAGGUGCUAAUACCGCAUAAUUCCAUUUACCGCAUGGUAGAUGGGUGAAAGGCGCUUUUGCGUCACUGAUGGAUGGACCCGCGGUGCAUUAGCUAGUGGGUGGGGUAACGGCCUACCAAGGCUGCGAUGCAUAGCCGACCUGAGAGGGUGAUCGGCCACACUGGGACUGAGACACGGCCCAGACUCCUACGGGAGGCAGCAGUAGGGAAUCUUCGGCAAUGGACGCAAGUCUGACCGAGCAACGCCGCGUGAGUGAAGAAGGUUUCGGAUCGUAAAACUCUGUUGUUAGAGAAGAACAAGGAUGAGAGUGGAAAGUUCAUCCCUUGACGGUAUCUAACCAGAAAGCCACGGCUAACUACGU
rnacentral:rRNA from 1 species